CUUAUAUCUGGUUUUAUUUACAUUUGUUGACAAAUUAAUCAAGAGAAAACAAAAUGCCUGCGCCAUGUUGCGAACCCUGCAAAGACACCUGCAAGGAUGCCGCUGACUGCAAGGACAAGUGUUCUGCUGAAGCGGAUUGCUCCGACUGUUCUAGUAAACCAGGUGGAUGCUGCUAGGCGUAUCCCUCAGUCGAAUACGAUGGAGAAGGAUGAAGAAUACUGAUCUGCCUGCG
rnacentral:lncRNA from 1 species